rnacentral:rRNA from 1 species
AUUGAACGCUGGCGGCAUGCCUUACACAUGCAAGUCGAACGGCAGCGGACCUUCGGGUGCCGGCGAGUGGCGAACGGGUGAGUAAUAUAUCGGAACGUACCUUUCAGUGGGGGAUAACGUAGCGAAAGUUACGCUAAUACCGCAUAUUCUGUGAGCAGGAAAGCAGGGAAUCGCAAGACCUUGCGCUGAUUGAGCGGCCGAUAUCAGAUUAGCUAGUUGGUGAGGUAAAGGCUCACCAAGGCGACGAUCUGUAGCGGGUCUGAGAGGAUGAUCCGCCACACUGGAACUGAGACACGGUCCAGACUCCUACGGGAGGCAGCAGUGGGGAAUUUUGGACAAUGGGCGCAAGCCUGAUCCAGCCAUGCCGCGUGAGUGAGAAGGCCUGG